GGGGCCGUAGCUCAGCUGGAAGAGCGCGUGAAUCGCACUCACGAGGUCGGCGGUUCGAUCCCGCUCGGCUCCA
rnacentral:tRNA from 1 species